rnacentral:rRNA from 1 species
CCUACGGGUGGCAGCAGUCGAGAAUCAUUCACAAUGGGGGAAACCCUGAUGGUGCGACGCCGCGUGGGGGAAUGAAGGUCUUCGGAUUGUAAACCCCUGUCAUGUGGGAGCAAAUUAAAAAGAUCGUACCCCAACAGGAAGAGACGGCUAACUCUGUGCCAGCAGCCGCGGUAAUACAGAGGUCUCAAGCGUUGUUCGGAAUCACUGGGCGUAAAGCGUGCGUAGGCUGUUUCGUAAGUCGUGUGUGAAAGGCGCGGGCUCAACCCGCGGACGGCACAUGAUACUGCGAGACUAGAGUAAUGGAGGGGGAACCGGAAUUCACGGUGUAGCAGUGAAAUGCGUAGAUAUCGAGAGGAACACUCGUGGCGAAGGCGGGUUCCUGGACAUUAACUGACGCUGAGGCACGAAGGCCAGGGGAGCGAAAGGGAUUAGAUACCCGAGUAGUC